AAAUAAGUUGAAAAUCCAUCAGAAACUAAUUUUAAUACAAAGUUAUUAAUUAAUUACGUUCGUUUUCAUUACAUUCUUUUGUUUAUUCUUUAAUUUUAUGUUUUGUAUCAAAAAUCGUGUUCAUUAAUAUUGUUGAUGUUGGUACUUUGGCCGUCAUUGUUGUUGUUUUUCUAUAUGUCAUACGAAAGAGGACGCACAAAUAAAGCAAAACAGCAGCCAACAGCAACAACUGUAAUACCAGUUAAUAUUUCAGUGAUAUUUUAAGUGAAUUGAAAAGAUUUGUUGUUAUUCACAAAGAAAAUAUCAUAGAGAAACCUUUCGCGAAACGAAUUAGUUACUCUUCAAUUGCCCAACGUUCAUGAUGGUUCCACGUAUGAGCUGGAUGAUAAUCAUCUCACACAAAAUGCUGGAGAAAAUGAAAAUACUCUAACAACAGAAUACGGUGAUGGAGCAGAUGACAAUGAUGAUCUUGAUGAAAGCAUUGACCACGUUGUCGAUUAUCUAAUUGAAAGUUCUGAUGAAGAGCUAGAAGAUGAGCUAUCUACAAAAGAAUAUUCGGUACAAGAUGCCUUACGUCGCUGGGCCAUAUCCAAAAAAUAAACGUACGAGUCGAUCGAGGAAGUAAUGGAGAUAAUACGGAAAGUAAGUGACUGCAAGCUACCGAAAGAUGCAAGAACCUUGCUGAAGAUCAGCCGCAACCCUUCUGCGGAGAUACUAAGGGUACAAGGAGGACAGUAUUGGUAUCAUGGAGUCCAAAAAUGCUUUUCAUUCAUUUUGUACAGACUUUAUGGUUCAUUAUAUUUACAUGUACUGCUUUGUUCCGUAAUAGCAAUGUAAAAGUUCCAACCAAUGCAACUCUUUCGAUCAAUAUUUCAAUCGAUGGGUUACCGAUAUUCAAAAGCAGUAACCUUCAAUUUUGGCCUAUAUUAAUAAACAUCCAUGGAAUGUCGAAAGUGCCAGUUAUGAUAGUUGCAAUCUAUUGUGGUCCUUCUAAACCAGCUAGUAUCGAACACUUUCUUCGACCUUUUGUUGAUGAAUUAAAUUUCCUCGUGAGAAAUGGAGCACUCGUCAAUAAUAGGAGAGUUAUGUUACAAAUACGUGCCAUUAUAGCCGACUCUCCGGCUCGUGCAUUUAUAAAAGGUGUUAUUAGUUUCAAUGCUAAAAACGGCUGCUUGAAGUGCAUAUCCGAAGGGAAGAGUAUCCAGGGACGAGUAGCAUAUUCCGAAUGCAUUGCUGCAGAUCGCACUGAUGAGGUGUGGUGACCAUCACAAAUUUGAUUCUCCUCUCUUACAUUUACAUUGCCUUGAUAUGGUGAAACAAGUUAUUGUAGCAGAAUCGUUGCAUUUGAUCGAUUUGGGUGUUACGAAACGAAUGCUGAUUAGCUGGAUAUUAGGGAAAUACGGAGUAAAGAAUAAGCUUUCCACUGCACAACUCAACAAUAUGACAGCGAUGUUUGUUAACAUAAAGAUACACAGAAAGUUCCGUUCAUUUCGUGACUUAAAGCAUUGGAAAGGAUCCGAGAUUGCCUCGUUCCUAUUUUAUGGUUCUAUUGUUGUGCUUCAAGAAGUAUUAUGUGAACAACAGUAUAACCAUUUCAUGCUGUAUAUUUGUAGUAUUACACUUUUGGCAUCAAAGGUUUACAAAGAACAUUGGUCUUUAGCAAAUUCUUUGCUUCAAUUAUUUGUCAAAAAAUACAAAUUCCAUUACGGCCCAGAAUUUGUUUCAAGCAAUGUUCAUAACCUUUUGCACAUUUACAAAGAAGUUGAUCAGUUUGGCCCAUUGCAUACCAUAUCUUCAUAUCCUUUUGCGAAUGAACUGCAGCAUAUAAAACGUUUACUGCGUAGUGGAUCAAAAAGUUUGGAACUAACUAGGGUAACCGUACCAGUUUUCGGCACGUUAGUGCAGCAGAUCAGAAAAAAAUACAAAUACAAUUAUUGAACUCAAUAAUUUUGAUAGAAGGUGGUAUUAUUUUGGUUGUAAAACUAUCAAAGAAUGUUUCAGCAUACAUGAUUUAUUGAUUUAAAUCAGUUUUUAAUAAAUAUUAGCAAAAAUGCAAAAACAUUGGUUUUGCUCCUAUUUUUGGCAGGCUGUGUUCCUAUUUUCGGCAUCGCGAAUAGACGAUUUGAAACACUCGAAAAGGUGUAAUUAAUUAAAGAAAAAUAUUUUAAACAACUUUCUACUCUUAUUUUGCUAAAAUUCUUGAUAGAAAGUAGUUAAAUAAUUAAUUUUAUGUUGUCCAUUAUGGAUAUGAAACUGCCAGAUUUUGACGUCUCUCGAAAAUCGCUCUGAAAUUGCACUGGAUUGAGCUGGCAAAAAUCAACAUUUUCCCUGUACCUAUUUUCGGCAGCCUUUAAAAAUAAUCGUUUAUUGGAUUUUUUAAUUAUCAAUGAGCUUUGAAUAAAUUUUAAAUUAAUUUUAUUGUUCAGAAAAAUCGAAACCCCAAUUUUUUAAGCUCUAGUUUGCUAAAUCUCAGAACUACCGAACUAUCAAAUCAAGAAUUGGCUUAAAGCCAAUCUGACGAAAUGUGUUGAGCUCGGCACAAAUAAUUCGAUAUUUUUGUAAAUAUCGAUCCAAAUGCGUCAAAACUUCGUAUUUAGAGAACAAACAAUGAUUUAUUCCUUUACAAGCAGUUGAAAGAUAAUUUCUUUUGCGAUUUUUCCCAUAAAUUUGCUAUUUUAGCCGACCUGCCGAAAAUAGGUACACUGCCGAAAAUAGGUACACUGCCGAAAAUAGGUACACUGCCGAAAACUGGAGCAGUUACCCUAUAAACCGAAUAUCAGAACGAGAGGCUUUACAUACGGAUCAAAAUAAUGACCAUUUUGAACAUCCCUUCAUUUUUCAAAGAGGAAGUAUAGCUACACUUCAUGUGCGCGAAGGAUUUUGCUUGAAGAAUGACCAACGUAAUGCAUGGUUUUUAACCAAAGCGUCGAGUGUGUGUCAAUAUAUCAAUGCAGUGUUGAGAGAAACCUCCGUACAUAUUACCGCGAAAAAAAAAUGGCUAGAACGGUGGAUGAUAUUAUGUAUCCUUUCAAUUCUAAAUUCCUGAACAUACAUCGUGGUAGCAUUAAAGACUUAGAAGAAAGGAAUAUAACCAUAGGACCACAGGAUAUAAAAUGUAAGCUAGUACUAGUACCUCUUUCUCAGGAAAAUCAGUAUAACUUUGUCCCUUUAAUUCAUACUUUAGUAUGAAUAUAUAAAUAGAAGCGUAAAGUUUUAAAUGAUUAUAUAAUAUGUUUAUUUUAUUACAGUA